CUUGGUCAUUUAGAGGAAGUAAAAGUCGUAACAAGGUUUCCGUAGGUGAACCUGCGGAAGGAUCAUUAUUGAAAUAAACCUGAUGAGUUGCUGCUGGUUCUCUAGGGAACAUUGUGCACACUUGUCAUCUUUAUAUCUCCACCUGUGCACCUUUUGUAGACCUGGAUAUCUUUCUGAAUGCAUUAGCAUUCAGGUUUUGAGGAUUGACUUCAUGUCUCUCCUUACAUUUCCAGGCCUAUGUUUUUCAUAUACCCCAAUGUAUGUUAUAGAAUGUAAUAAAUGGGCCUUUGUGCCUAUAAACCUAUACAACUUUCAGCAACGGAUCUCUUGGCUCUCGCAUCGAUGAAGAACGCAGCGAAAUGCGAUAAGUAAUGUGAAUUGCAGAAUUCAGUGAAUCAUCGAAUCUUUGAACGCACCUUGCGCUCCUUGGUAUUCCGAGGAGCAUGCCUGUUUGAGUGUCAUUAAUAUAUCAACUUCUUCAGCUUUUGCUUGUUGAAUGUUGGAUGUGGGGGUUAUUUUUUUGCUGGUCUCUCUUCUGAGGUCAGCUCCCCUGAAAUGCAUUAGCGGAACAAUUUGUUGACUGUUCAUUGGUGUGAUAACUAUCUAYGCUAUUGAUGGAAAACAGUUCAGCUUCUAACAGUCCAUUGACUUGGACAAAAUUUUAUUAAUGUGACCUCAAAUCAGGUAGGACUACCCGCUGAACUUAAGCAUAUCAAUAAGCGGAGGA
rnacentral:rRNA from 1 species